CCGGCAGUGUAUGCUCUGUUCCAAGUCUGGCCACAUUCUCUGCUCCAAGGGUCAGAACUAACUCACAGGUACCAGGCUCCUUGCGGUCCCGAGUGACUGCUUGUGUUCUAGCCAUGGUGAAGAGAAGGGUUCACCUGGGGCCUCAGCCAGAGCCUUCAUGGCCCCCUGAGGAUGCACUGUCUCCUGCAAGCUUGUUCGGAGCCUUGAGCAGGGUGAGCUACCUGAUAAGGUUCUCCUGAUGUUGUCACAGGGCCCCCUACCGAUGGGAGAAGUGUCUGGGGUGACUCUUGGGAUGCUUUCUCCCUUAGACAGUUUUUUCUCUUGCCGCUUAUAAAGACUGGGAUGUGGGUCCAGAGACUGGAGUAUAAGCAGCCAGCUUGGAGCAUGAAGUGGGUCGGUGCAUCAUUGUCCUGACCCUGCCAGUUCCAAGGACCUAGUUGGAGAGGCUGGUGGGCUUGUCUGAGGGAACAUCCCCUCACCAAGGUAAUGCAAGCCAGGCAGGAGGUAGGAAUUGAAGCCUCCCAGAACCGACUUGGCAGGUAGGCCAGAAGGGCGGGGCCAGAACCACAAAUGUGAACUUUCUUUAGAUGUCUGGUCCCUGAGGGCUCCUCAGCUGUGGCAAAGAGGAAGUAGGAUAGGCUGGGGCAGAAGCCAGCAAAAGACACAGUGGAAAAUCCUGGGGACUUCUACAAGAGCAGGUGCCACCCACGCACCAGCCAAGCAGAGGCUGAGACACCCUGAGAAAGGAAAGGGACAUAGGCAUGAGGACCCCAUGUGAGCGCUGUGUCCCUUUCUCAAGGGGGAAUUUACUGCUUUGCCAUUGAUGCAUAGGACCUGCCUCAUGCUUCAAGGUGGCCACUUACACUCCAGCCAUCACAUUCCAGCCUCUGGAAAGGGAAAAGAAAAGGAAGGUGCCUACAUGUAAGGAAGCAGGCUACAUGGGGAUGGGUGUGUGUGUGUGUGUGUGUGUGUGUGUGUGUGUGGUGUCCCUCCAUACUGAUAACCUACUCCUUGCUCAUUCAUUUGUUCAGUCAGCAACCCAUUCCUUUGGCUUUCAGAGAUAGGACUUCAUGUAGCCCAGGCUGGCCUCCAUGGCCUAAACUCCCCAUCCCCCUGCCUCUGCUUUCUGAGUGCUGGGAUGGCAGAGAUGUGCCCCACCCAUCCAUCUGUGCCAGGGCGUUGUUUUUUUUCUCACACUCCCUGGGUCUCCCCUGGGGCUGUCCCCACUACCCCUGACAGAAACCACCAGUCUUGGUCCAGCCUGUCCCUUGAGGCCAGGAGGAGGCAGGUGCAGACAGGAGGGGUGGAGAGUGGUACCAGAUGGCCAUAUGUACCCUCCUGGCACUUGGGCCACUCAGCUGCCAUCCAGUAUCCUGAGCAGAGGGACCCAGGACAGCUCUGUAUGGUGGCAGGAUGGGGGCACAGCCUUCCUGCCCCCUGGGUAGACGGCAGCGGCAGCAGCUUCAGGGUCAGGUGAAUGGCAUGCUGAGGACCUUCCUGCCCUGUUACCGUAGGCAGCUGGCUGCAGCUGUGCUCAGACACAUUUCCCAGGAGCUGGGACCCCAGGACCCAGCCGGAUGCCAGCUGUCCCACACCAAAAAGCUGCCUCGAGUCAGGGAGCACCAAGGGCCCUUGACCCUGCUUCAGGGCCACCCACCACAGUGGCAACCAACCUUCUGUGUUCUGCGUGGAGACGGACGUCUAGAAUGGUUCAGUCACAAGGAGAACUAUGAGUCUGGGGGUUGUCCGCUGGGCUUUGCAGCUCUGACAGGAUAUACACUGCUCACGUCCCAGCGUGAAUACCUCUGCCUUUUGGAUGACCUCUGCCCCAGCUCCUCUGGAGAUCUUGCCCUGGAGGAGCCCCUGCGGGUGCUGGAGGAGCCCGUGAGCUUCGCGCUCUUCCUCGUGCACCCCUUCCGGGCUCACCUCUGCUUCUGCGCUCGCUCUCGGAAGGCGCACCGCGCCUGGAGGCUCGGCCUGCAGGGUGCCAUUCGUCUGAGAGCCACCGUCCUGCAGCGCAGCCGAGCGCCCGCGGCCUGCGCCUUCCUGGAUGCCGUGCUGCUCUAUCGACGACGCCGGGGCUACGCUGGUGGAGACGACGGGAUACUGGGCUCCGACGCAGAGGUGCUGAGCGCGGAGCUGAUGCGGGAGUUGUUGCCCGGGCUGCGAGCACAGACGCUCCGAAGCCUGCGCGGUGCGGGACGUGCCCGAGCCCGUGCUUGCGCGGAGUUCCUCGACGCCGUGCACACGGCCGUCCUGGCCUGGGCAUCCUCGGGGCUGCGUGCCUUCCAGCCAGAGAAAGACGCACUACUGGCGGCUCUGGAGAGGAUGGUGCGCGCAGACCUCGAGCAGAUCCUGCAGCAGCGCGCACUCGGAGCCCGGAGAAUAGAAGCCGAGAUCCAGGGCGCAGUAGAGGCAUGCCUGUGUCAGAAGGUGGACCCGCAACUGCCCCAGCUUACCCUUGCGCUGCUGAGCCCUGUGGAAGCCACGCUCCGAGCUGUUCGGACCCUUCUCAUCCAGGGGAUGGACCGGCUGUGUCACUACCUUCGCAAGAACCCUUCUGGCACUCGGCUGUGCAGGGAGGUUUAUGAAUUUGGGGAGAUACCAUGGGACCCAGAGUUGAUGCAGGCCUGCUACCGGGAGGCAGAGAGGAACCACAGCCAUCUGGUCCAGCUGGCAAAACCCUUUGACUUCCUGGGGAUGCGGAGCCUGGUGUUUGGGGCCCAGGACCUUGCACAACAGCUCAUGGCGGCCGCAGUUACCACCUUCCUGCAGCUGGCUGACCAGUGUCUGACAUCAGCUCUGGAUCGUAGCCAAGCAGCUGAGCAGCUGGGGAAAGUCAGGGGCCUUGUAUUGAAGAAGUUCACCUCAGACAGUGAGACUACGCGAUGGAGGUUCACCCGGGACUGUCUGCUGAGGAUCUUCUGGCCCUUUGUAUGGAGCCAGCUCCGGCUGAGAUGUAACUUGGUGAGUGGACACCUGAGACAUCUGUCUGGCAGGGACAGAGUGCUCCUCGGGCUGGGUGGGGGACUUUCUUGGGCGUCCACCAUGCUCUUUGCUUUCUCAGGAAUCUUGGUUCCAAACCCCCACUUCCACCCCCACACCUACCUACUAGCCACACCCUCCCAGAGUUCUAGCCCACCUCUGCUGAGCAUGCACAGGGGAGAACCAGCUGUGCAAAAGCCCUGGGGUAGGACUGGGCUCAGAGAAGAGUCAGCUGAAGCUGGAGUUGAGGGAAGAGACAGUGGGAAGAGUGUGGGUGGGGAGGGCCCAGCCGUCCAGUUACCUAAAGGUCAGGGCCAUCAAGUAUAGGUAUGUCUCGGGUGCUAACAGGACACCCCAGGGCCACAACUGUGGCAUUUGGGAGGCAGGAUGGAUGGAUGGGCCGUAGUUCAUUUCUGAUACUGUGACACAUGCUAUGGCGUGUGGGGUUGUGGGUGAGCAAGUCCACGUUACAGAGAGGGAAACAAGCCAGAGAACCCAGCAGAUCAGGCCAGGGCUGGGGGAGCACAGGCCCUGUCUCUAGCUACGUUCCUAGGAACCGCCAGAGGUGGAUGGGGACAUCCUGGCCAUGGGCUGGCAGGUUCUGACCACUGAGGGUGUCUACAGAGAUGUCAUCCAGGGCCUCUUGCUGCAGAGGAUUGACAGAGAAUUGAAGAAGAUUCUCGGUGCCAGUGACAGAGCCUGCUCUCUAGCUGACUGCUCAGUAGCCCAGUGGGUCCAGGAAGGAGCAGACAGGGAACAUCCAGAUGACAGCUGUCAUUUCACAGAGGAGGAAGCUGACGCUCAGCUCUAAGAGAGAGAAAGAGAGAGAAAGAGAGAGAGACUUACUCUGCAGGCCAAAUGCGGCCACUCCAUACAACAUGGCUUCCAAGAACAGUCGAGAGCAGAGUCUUGACCCACCCACACCCAUCCUGGAGGACAGUGGAUAAAGACCUGGAGUGGCCUCCCUGGGCCAAGGGUAUGAACGCUUCUGGCUUUGUAACUUAUGUAUUCAACAAAGCAUCAUAGAUGGUGUUCCUGCUAAAAUUUGUACACUCAGGUUCUGAGCUAGCCUACCCUACCAUAAUAAGAUACCGUCUCUAAAAAAACAACCCAAAACCUCUGUUAAUAUGAUACAUGUAAUGACUUAUUUUUUCAUAAACAUUUGUACCUUUCUUUUUAAAUAUGUUUACUUUGUAUGUGUGUGUCCCGGCACAUGUGUGAGCCUGUGGAGGUCAGAGGACAGUUUACAGGAGUUGGGUUUUCUCUUUCCAUCUAGUGGGUCUUGAGGAUCAAACUCACCAAGCUUAGUGGCAAGUACCUGCUAAGCUGUCUCACUGGCCCUGUUUUUACAUUUAUCAAUUGCUUGAUUAAAAACUGUUUGAAUGACUAAAUUGAACUUUAAAAUGCCCAGGGCUUCAAGCUUGAUUGACCAGAGCCUUGUCCUGGCUUCUGGGCCAGCACUGCCAACCUCUCCUUGCCCUGGCCCCCCACCCUAGGUCGCUGCUUCCCCAGCUGCUUCCAGGCAAUUCCAGGGGCUUUCACUGGUGCUCCCUGCAGGGUCUGGAGGAAGUUGGGAAGGUGUGUGGACCAGGAGAGGUGGGGAUGGGGGGUGGGGAGAGAGGACAACCACCCAAGCAGUCCAGCUGUGUCAGCUUCAGCCCUUAUCUGCCCCCUUCACCCCGUACCUCCCGUCCAUCCCACCCCAUCCCUGCCUUUGCACUAGAACAUUUUAAUUUAACUUAUACAUCUUACGUCUAUCUCUGUGGAUGCAGCCAGUGUCCACUGUGACCCAGGCUACAAUGCAGACGCUAAUUCCAGAAUCAAGGCAUGCAAGAAUGUGACCCACUGCCUUCUUUGAGAGCACCUGUUGGUUGCCAGCACCGGCUGUCAUUUUAGUUUACUUCCGUAGGUUGAGAUUUCAUGAAGUCUACAGGGUAUAGACUUUUUUUUUUUAAAGAUUUAUUUAUUUAUUAUAUGUAAGUACACUGUAGUUGUCUUCAGACACUCCAGAAGAGGGCAUCAGAUCUUGUUACAGAUGGUUGUGAGCCACCAUGUGGUUGCUGGGAUUUGAACUCUGCACCUUCGGAAGAGCAGUCGGGUGCUCUUACCCACUGAGCCAUCUCACCAGCCCCAGGGUAUAGACUUUAAGGGUCUUGUAGUUUUUGUAUUUUUUUUUUAAAUAAAAAAUUUCAAACAUGCA